GAUGAACGCUAGCUACAGGCUUAACACAUGCAAGUCGAGGGGCAGCAUGGUCUUAGCUUGCUAAGGCCGAUGGCGACCGGCGCACGGGUGAGUAACACGUAUCCAACCUGCCGUCUACUCUUGGACAGCCUUCUGAAAGGAAGAUUAAUACAAGAUGGCAUCAUGAGUCCGCAUGUUCACAUGAUUAAAGGUAUUCCGGUAGACGAUGGGGAUGCGUUCCAUUAGAUAGUAGGCGGGGUAACGGCCCACCUAGUCUUCGAUGGAUAGGGGUUCUGAGAGGAAGGUCCCCCACAUUGGAACUGAGACACGGUCCAAACUCCUACGGGAGGCAGCAGUGAGGAAUAUUGGUCAAUGGGCGCAGGCCUGAACCAGCCAAGUAGCGUGAAGGAGGACUGCCCUAUGGGUUGUAAACUUCUUUUAUAAAGGAAUAAAGUCGGGUAUGGAUACCCGUUUGCAUGUACUUUAUGAAUAAGGAUCGGCUAACUCCGUG
rnacentral:rRNA from 1 species